GAGUUUGAGUCACAUCACUAGCGGCUGAAUGCUAUCAAAACUCGCCAAGUGUUUGCCCUCGACUAUCCUUGAAGCUUUUUGAAGGUUUGUUUGCCUGGAAUACAAAGGGAACAUUGUUUUUUUUUUUAUUCUUCUUCAGGGUUUAAUACCUCACCUCAGCUCUCUGGCACAUUUUGGCGUCGCGAUGUCUUAUUUAUUUUCACGCACUUGCUGGAACAGGUAAAUUGUGCUCAUAUACCAAAGAGUGACAGAGAAACGACACGGUAUCUACGUCUGACUGUAAAAGGUGCUGGAAAAAAAAUGGAUCACCUCACUUCCAAAUCCCAACAUUUCCAUCUUCUGUUUUUCAUCGCUCUAUGUGUCUUUCCUGGAUCACUAGCCCAGACUUUGGUCCCCAGGGGCUGUGGAGAUAAUGUGAACUCCUUGUAUUUCAACCUCUGUGACCUGGCUACAGCCUGGGGUGUUGUAGUUGAAGCAUUUGCAGCUGCUGGUUUGGUGGGCUCUUUGAUUCUUCUGAUCGUGCUGCUAGCCAGCCUUCCCUUCGUCACUGACAGGAAGUGGCGCAGUUCGUUAGGGCUUCACGCGGGGUUCCUCAUCUUCACGUUUGGACUGUUCGCCCUCACAUUCGCCUUUAUAGUUGGAAAGAACUUUGCUACUUGCGCGUCACGCCGCUUUUUGUUCGGUGUGCUGUUUGCUGGCUGCUUCUCUUGCCUUCUUAUGCAAGCUGUGAGGUUGAACAUACUGGCCAGGAGAAACUCGGCACCUAGAGGUUGGGUUUGGUGUUUGGGGGCUCUGGGACUCUGGUUGGUAGAAGUUGUUAUUAACACAGAAUGGCUAAUUAUUACUAUUGUACGAUACCCAACUAACGACACCGGAAUUCUGACUCCUGCUACUGCUGUUCCCUGUAAUAUCGAAAACAAGGAUUUUGUCAUGGCGCUCAUUUAUGUUCUAAAUCUACUAUUGGCGGUCGUGGUAGCAUCCAUACCCAUAUUGGCAGGUAAACACAAGCGUUGGCGUAAGGACGGAGUCUUCAUCCUGAUCACAGGACUGCUUUCAGUGGGCAUCUGGGUGGCGUGGAUCGUCAUGUAUCUGUACGGGAAUGCAAAGCACAAUCGGCUGACGUGGGACGAUCCCACGUUGGCUAUAGCAUUGGUUUCAAACGCCUGGGUGUUUCUGCUAUUCCACACGGUGCCGGCGGUGUGUAGCCUGAGUGAGGAUGAUGAAGAGACAGUUGUUGAGGAAAAUCUGUACCCCAGCAGAGGGUACGAGAACAUUCUGAAGGACCAAAGUUCACAGAGCAUCUACAUGGAGAAUAAGGCCUUCUCUAUGGAUGAGCCCAAUGCAGGUAAUAAGCCUGUGUCCCCAUACAGCGGCUAUAACGGCCAACUCCGAAGUUGCGUUUACCAGCCGACAGAACUGGCCAUCAUCACUAAAGGAGUGGGCAAUCAACAGGUGGAAUCGUAUGACAAUGUAAUUCCACGAGCAUCCACAGGCACUCCUCCCAAACCCCAGACCGGCCGCACCAGCCCCUCCGCACACCUUGAUGAUAUGAGACAAAUAUAUACAAAUGUAUGUGGAGAGCAUUAUUGAUGCUGGGUUUGAUUGCUUUGGGUCUCUCCAGACUAUCGCCCUUUCAUUUUUAGCUUCCUUUAUUCUAUUUCAACAUGCAUGCAUACUGACCUACUUACAUUUAAGCAGAUUUUUUCUCUUUGUAAUGAUUGUAAAGUUUCCUUCAGUUUUGUAGGGGUGCUGUAUUAUGAUUGAUAUAUAUGGGAUGUUUUGGUGGCAUGUAAAGGCCAUUUGUUUAAUCAACAGAUAAACAUGCAUAUUACAGAUUUUCAGAUGAAACAAUGAAAAUUAAGCCAUAAUCACCCACACAAAACAUCAUCAAGAAAACAGAAUCUGUCCUUGAACCUUUCUUCUUGAAUUUCUGGGUCUUCUGGUGCGUCUCAGUUUAUCAUCUCUCUCGAUUACAUGUCCGUGGGGAAUUCUUCUCCCUUUUUGCCUUGGCAUUCAUUCUUUUAAGAUCUGCUUUCAUUCCUAGAAUGCACUUGGUGACACUUUAACCUUCUGUCUGGGAUGGUGGAAUUUAAAGGCCAUUUUAGAAUUUCUUUUUCUGUCUGUCUGUGUUUGUGUUAAUUAUUUUAUUUUCAUGUUUUUGUAAGGUAUGAGGGGGUGGAAGACGAAGUGGGAACUAAUAUACUAAACUGGAAAUUUCAUCAGAAGACCCCAGUGAUCAGCUCACGCCGACUUUUUUUUUUUUUUUUUUUUCUGGUGUUUCUAAGUUAAGAUUUGUGAUUUUUGUUCUUCUUUCCAACGCUGUGGUCGACUAUAUAGACCAACUUUUGUGAACUCAGACUAACUGAGCAGCAAUUAGUUGGUUUGCUCCACUGAAGGCGAAUGUGUUGAGUUAUCUCAACCUGAAUGAACCGCUGAAGAUAUUGUACAGUAUGGCUUGGUUGUGCAUGGGCACAUUAAAAAGAUUAGUUGCACCAAUGAUUGUAUAGACUACUGCAAUGCUACUAGCUGUGUUUCCUAAGAAACACAGACCAGCAAAGGACUGUAAAAUAAAAUUAUGCUGGUUUUCUGUCACUCAUCCUGUAUAAGGAGUUCUGAAAUGCUGCUUCUUCCACCGUAAAUGUAGGUGUAGCAACACCAUACAUAUGCAUAACCCUUAAAUUACAUAUAUAAAAUUGCAAUCACAAUCAUGUUGAUGCAGCAACAAGACUGCUUACUUUAUUAUUUUCCCAACUUUAUAUUUAUUGUCAGUGUAAAGUAGAAUUAAACUCCAUCUGAACAUACUUUUCAAACCACAUGCAAAUGUUCUGAUUUAUGAUGUACAUAUUAAACGUUGACUGAACGGGAAAUUCAUAGAUAUUUAUUUACUCAUCUUGUUCAGCUUUCCAUAUGAAAA